CAUUUACCAAGAUUGCAAGGCUUUCCAUUCAGAUUGCAAAAUAAUGACCCUCUCUGUCUUUUUUAUUCAAUAUACCCUCGGGUGUCCAGUUUGGAUAAAAUUUGAGGUCCAGCGCCUAUCAAAGCUCCUCAGGGGAGAGGAGACAUAGACAGACUCAGGGAAGAAGGCCAUGUGAAGAUGGACACAAGAAAGACAGCCAGGUGAAGAUAAAAGCAGAUGCGUCUACAAGCCAAGGAACAUCUGAGGCCACCAGAAGCCAGGAGAGAAUCAUGGGAGAGAUCUCCAUUUCUAGCCUCCAGAACUAAGGAAAAAGUGAGGACAACUUGCUCAAGGA